UGAGGAUGUCGAUGACAAUAAGGUUCUUCGACAAAUGAAGUGAUUCAGGUUUUUCAAAAAAAGCAGAGAGAGCCAAUUAACUUAGCUAAUUAGCUCCCCCUGCUCAAAAGAUAUUACAAAGUAUCAUGCAAUCCUGCACAAGUCAACAAGGAAAUGAGCCUACUUAAAAAACAAGCAUAAGAAAAACAAUAGCCUACACCUCCCAUUUUAAGGAACGUCAAAAAAUGAGGAUGUCGAUGACAACAAGGUUUUUUCGACAAAUGAAGUGAUUCAGGUUUUUCAAAAAAAGAAAGCAGAGAGAGCCAAUUAACUCAGCUAAUUAGCUCCCCCUGCUGAAAAGAUAUCACUAAGGAUCACACAAUCCUGCACAAGCCAACAAGGAAAUGAGCCUACUUCAAAAAACAACCAUAAGAAAAACAAUAGCCUACACCUCCCAUUUAUAGAAAUAAUACUCCGGGCAUCCUAUUAAACUUUAUAUAAUAGUAUUUGACAGAACACGAAGAGCAAGAUGCUAAUUUGACUUAUACAUUAUACGAGUUUAACUUGCUGUAGUAGGUUACUCAUUACAUAUUUUUGAGAUACAACCUUCAUAAGAAAUUAAAUCCGUACUGUAUUAGUAAUAAUAAAAGGAAAUAUUACAGCAAUUUGUGAUAUAGUGAAAUAUCGGAUCAAAGUUUAAGAAACAAACUGAAGAAAAUUCAAUAAUCUAAUAAAUAUGAAAUCUUGAAAUUUUUGAAAAAUGAGAUAGAAAUGAAAGAAUGAGACAUAUAUUAGAACCCCAGAAAAACAUUUCUCCCAAAACCAAGCAAGAAUGGCAACAGCGUAGUUCGCAAAAGCUUCAGGAUCGGUCCUAACACUAUUAAGAGAAUCCCAAAUUUCAAUAGCUGAAAUACAUAAAAUGCAAGAGAGCAAAUAAGUUGUAGAUUUCUUAUAGAUAUCAUUUCAAUGAUCAACUGUUUGAUUUGAAACCCAUAUCAAAAACCCAA
rnacentral:lncRNA from 1 species